UAUAAGGACCUAAAUAUCCCAAAGGCACCAAAUCCUGUCUGAUCCUGGAAGCUAAGCAGGGUCAUCCCUGGUUAGUACUUGAUUGAGAGACUGCCAGCAAAUGUCAGAUUCUUUCAGA
rnacentral:rRNA from 11 species